GACGGUUUGGCCGAGUGGUCUAAGGUGCCAGAUUUAGGCUCGAGUCCGAAAGGGCGUGGGUUUAAAUCCCACAGCCAUCA
rfam:Ipomoea nil DNA, scaffold: scaffold3210, cultivar: Tokyo-kokei standard.